rnacentral:rRNA from 1 species
GUGGGGAAUCUUAGACAAUGGGCGCAAGCCUGAUCUAGCCAUGCCGCGUGAGCGAUGAAGGCCUUAGGGUUGUAAAGCUCUUUCGUGGGGGAAGAUAAUGACUGUACCCCAAGAAGAAGCCCCGGCUAACUCCGUGCCAGCAGCCGCGGUAAUACGGCGGGGGCUAGCGUUGUUCGGAAUUACUGGGCGUAAAGCGCACGUAGGCGGACUGGAAAGUCAGGGGUGAAAUCCCGGGGCUCAACCACGGAACUGCCUUUGAAACUCCCAGUCUUGAGUUCGAGAGAGGUGAGUGGAAUUCCGAGUGUAGAGGUGAAAUUCGUAGAUAUUCGGAGGAACACCAGUGGCGAAGGCGGCUCACUGGCUCAUAACUGACGCUCAGACGCGAAAGCUAGGGUAGCAAACGGGAUUAGAUACCCCGGUAGUCC